CAACUAUUAGACGAAGUGAAUGGGUUGCGGCCGGUGCUUGUAAUCUGGCCAGAUCCAGGAAAGUCCCCGGGCCCUCAACUGCAGAGAUGCAGGCUCGGAAACGAGCAAAGCUUAAGGUCGUUGGCGUUUGUUCUUGCCAUUGGCAAGGCGGGGCUGAGACGAGUGUGGAGCCCUAAUAACCCUAAUGACGAAGCAAUUUGGCCGAUGACCACAGUUAUUCACUUGGUCCCUAAGCUUGGACUAACUGAACGGGGCUUAUGAUCUAGUAGUU
rnacentral:RNase_MRP_RNA from 1 species